rnacentral:rRNA from 1 species
AUACGGAGGGUGCAAGCGUUACUCGGAAUCACUGGGCGUAAAGCGCGCGCAGGUGGUUUUACAAGUCAGAUGUGAAAGCCCACGGCUCAACCGUGGAAGUGCAUUUGAAACUGUAAGACUUGAGUAUCAGAGGGGAAGGUGGAAUUCCCGGUGUAGAGGUGAAAUUCGUAGAUAUCGGGAGGAAUACCGGUGGCGAAGGCGACUUUCUGGCUGAAUACUGACGCUGAGGCGCGAAAGCGUGGGGAGCAAACAGGAUUAGAAACCCUAGUAGUCC